UACGUAGGUGGCAAGCGUUGUCCGGAUUUAUUGGGUUUAAAGGGUGCGUAGGUGGUCUAUUAAGUCAGUGCUGAAAUAUCCCGGCUUAACCGGGAGGGUGGCAUUGAUACUGAUGGACUUGAGUAAAGUUGAGGUAGGCGGAAUUGACGGUGUAGCGGUGAAAUGCUUAGAUAUCAGGAGGAACACCAAUAGCGAAGGCAGCUCGCUGGGACGUUACUGACACUGAGGCGCGAAAGCGUGGGGAGCGAACAGG
rnacentral:rRNA from 1 species